CUGGCGGCGUGCCUAUACAUGCAAGUCCGAGCGAAUGGAUUAAGAGCUUGCUCUUAUGAAGUUAGCGGCGGACGGGUGAGUAACACGUGGGUAACCUGCCCAUAAGACUGGGAUAACUCCGGGAAACCGGGGCUAAUACCGGAUAACAUUUUGAACUGCAUGGUUCGAAAUUGAAAGGCGGCUUCGGCUGUCACUUAUGGAUGGACCCGCGUCGCAUUAGCUAGUUGGUGAGGUAACGGCUCACCAAGGCAACGAUGCGUAGCCGACCUGAGAGGGUGAUCGGCCACACUGGGACUGAGACACGGCCCAGACUCCUACGGGAGGCAGCAGUAGGGAAUCUUCCGCAAUGGACGAAAGUCUGACGGAGCAACGCCGCGUGAGUGAUGAAGGCUUUCGGGUCGUAAAACUCUGUUGUUAGGGAAGAACAAGUGCUAGU
rnacentral:rRNA from 1 species